AAUGCAGGAUGGGAAUGAUGCAAAUGCAUGAAUGCAGGUCACUGUGCCACCAAGUCAUCUGAAGACCCAUCAAGUCUCUGAACCAGUCACAGUCAUCUGAGGGACUAAGUCACCAUAAAUCCAACUUGGGAAGUUCCGAAAUAAACGGAAUCGGAGAUUACAUCACUACCAUCACAGGAACAUCCACUGAACGGACGACAACCAGAUCCUCUGAACGAGUA
rnacentral:lncRNA from 1 species